rfam:Pelodiscus sinensis unplaced genomic scaffold scaffold3270, whole genome shotgun sequence.
GCCCCAGUGGCCUAAUGGACAAGGCAUUGGCCUCCUAAGCCAGAGAUUGUGGGGUCAAGUCCCACCUGGGGCA